GAUGAAGAACGUAGCGAAACGCGAUAAGUAGUGUGAAUUACAGAAUUCAGUGAAUCAUCGAAUCUUUGAACGCACAUUGCGCCCCUUGGUAUCCCGAGGGGCAUGCCUGUUCGAGCGUCAUUUCACCACUCAAGCCUGGCUUGGUGUUGGGCGACGUCCCCUUUGGGGACGCGCCUCGAAACGCUCGGCGGCGUGGCACCGGCUUUAAGCGUAGCAGAAUCUUUCGCUUUGGAAGUCGGGGCCCCGUCUGCCGGAAGACCUACUCGCAAGGUUGACCUCGGAUCAGGCAGGGAUACCCGCUGAACUUAAGCAUAUCAAUAAGCGGAGGA
rnacentral:misc_RNA from 1 species